rnacentral:misc_RNA from 1 species
UAUGUUCUUUCAUCGCAUAAUUAACCAGCAAUUAUAAAUUUACAGAAUAUUUUCUUAUCUCUCUCUACACUUUCUUCUCUUUCUAAACAAGAAAAAAAAAUAUAAUUAUUUUUCCUUCACCCAUUUUAUUUUCCUUUAAUCAAAACAAAGGAGAGAAAAAUAACAAAGAAAAUUUUCAUUAUUUCCUUUUCUUAUUUUCUUUCCUUUUCUUUCCUGUAGGAACAGUGUCCGCCUUCACUCUCCAGGCAUGCAUAUGCAGCCGCAGAGAUUUCUUGGUUAAAAGAGGGUCCUAUUUAGAAAUAAUGUAAUGGGCAAUACAAUUAUUUUUGGCUUGACUACCUUCUUCCCUGAGGUCUUGCUGAUUAAACAGGUCUGGACAACUUGGCUACUUUUGAGAUCAGACACACCCUAACUUCCGCUGACUGCUGUCCAUAACACUAGCUAGCAAUACUUGAUUGACAUUCAAAGGCACGGCACGAGACAAGGACCCUUCCCUUUGUCCUACUACUUACUUUGGUUGGUCAUUAGACUCGAGAUGUUAAAAGAAUCAACAAUAGACAAAAGGAAAUUGUAUGGAAACUUCAAAUGGAGGGUACAAUUAAAUAGAUGCAUUUUGGAUUAAGCACAAGGUUUCAAACUCUCUUUUGAGUUUAGGCCUAGAAGCCUGGCAUGCGUAAGGCAGAAACUAUCGUUUCACUUGUUGUAGAAAAGCUUGGUAUAAUCUGCUCAUUGAAGUACCACCAUGUCCAGGGGCGGGAAGUUGAUUCAAUCGGGAGAGAGUUGACUAUAACAAAACACAAGGAAUCCUUUUGAGACGAGGGAAAGAUCAUUACCCCCACUUCAAAUAUUACCAGAAUCCCUAAUACUGCAUUAUGUGAACAAUUAAAAAAACAUACAGUUCAUAAAACGAAUAAAUUAAGCAACCUUUCACUUUCAGAAGAAGCGACUCACGAGAACCAACGAGCACUCAAAGAAGGGCACUUGCCCAUGUCGAUUCUUUGGGACAGUUAGUAUUGGGGUGGGACCAAAAUAAUAAUAAUAAUAAUACAUGCCAGCAUUAGUUUUAAAGCUGCUAGUAAGAAAAAUCUCUCAUCACUCCAAGUUUCCAAGUAGCAUUAGUAAGAUCUAAAUAGGGGAAAGAAAAUAAAAACUAACAGAAGAAAAGGGGGAGAGGGUUGACAAAAUUUACAAAAGUAAUCAUAAACAGAUUGAAAAUUUACUUCACCUCCCAAAACAUCUCAUCACUGAUGAUACAAGGGAAGAGGAGAGGAAUUUCAUUCCAGCAGACCCACCAGGGAAGUAGGAAAUGCAAUAAUAUACAAGUGCAAGAACCUACAAAUACAAUGAUAUUAAUUUCAUCAGAUAAGACUAUUUUUAUCCCUUCUUUUCUUUGGAUAAAGGCUAACUCUACUAUCAUUACAUAUGAAAUUAAAAUACAACAGUAACAGUGAAAAUUUUUUGCUAUAUGAUGCAAAAACAUAGACAACUAGUUGCAUGCCUACUUUUAGAUCAAUUGUGGGAAGUUGAUGGAUCGCUAAAGGAUUGCAGAAACUGUAAUGGAACAACAUCUCAAGCCAGAACAAAAGAGAUAAAAACCAAAGGAAAACAAAACUAGAAGAGAGAGAAGCAACUAAAAUCUGCUCAAGGGAAUCAUGAAAUCUAGUACCUGUAUUACGGAGAAAAGCACAGAAAGAAUAUAGCUGUGAAGCACCAUUGAGACAUAUAUAGUACCCACCAUACUGCCUAUGAAUCCCAAUGUAAAAGGAAGUCUCUCUUUGGAUGUCAUGUGAACAAAUUGAUUCUUGGGACCCUUGAGUGCCAGAAAUGAUGAAAUGAUGAAGACACAUCCGAGUGUAAAACAUAUUGCAAAUUUCUGGGGCAUCAGUACUAUGACAGGCAGGAACAUCGCAAAUGCAAUGAAAACAAAGAACACUCCAGUUGCAAGAAAUAAACCAAAAUACAUGAGAGCUUUUCCUGAAGGAAUGUUGCUGGUGGCAGACUGGAAAUUGCCAGGUAUAUCUCUCACUCCUUUAGACACCACAUUGAAGGUGCCCGUAACGGAGUCGUUUGCGGAACGGACAGCGGCUUCAAGAUCGAACCCAAUGCCUGAUCCAGUGCUCUCAUUAGUAUCUCGCGAAGCGGCGUAUGAGUUCCAAUCUGCCAAUAGAGAUGAUGCGGGUUUUUGCUGUUGAUCUUCGCUACUACCACCCGAAAACCAACCCUGUGCCAUUUUCUGCAUACUCUUUUUUCGUUUUCUUGAAUACCAACACAGGAGCUGGAGAUUUUGCCGAAAAGUCGAAGAAAUGUUUGUUGUAAGAAUAUCGCCGAGCUCAAGCCAGAAAAUUA